GUGGCCGAGGAGAAACGGGGGUUCGCGGAGUCCCGGCAGCAUCACGGAGCCGCUUGCGGCCCCAACUUUAAACGCUGCCCCUCCUCCCCCUCCCCACAGCCUCAGGACGGCGGCGGAUCGGAGGAGUGAGAGGAGGUGCUCAAGGGUUUAAAGGUCAUGCCGAGUCCGGAAGAUGGAUACGUCCUUUAAACUCUCAUCAGAGCCGUCUGUCUGUCCCUCCCUCCCGGGACCCAUCAGUCUGCUGCGCAGAGCCAGGAGGAGGGAGUUUCAGAGGAGGCUGCUAGGAUCAUCUGAUGGUGCCUUGAAGGAGAAAUGACAUCUCGACUCAUUUUCAAGAUGCCGGUCACGUUGCCGUGGUCAGCACUUUAGGGCAAGGAGCAAAAAGGACAACAAACCACUUCUGGAAGUGGCUCUCCUGUCGGAUUGGCCCAGCAUCACUCCCUUGGCAGCACAAAGCUUCGGGGGCACACGUGUGGAAUGAGGUUACCGUGUCCCUUGCCCCAGGGCCCCUCUCCUCAGCCCCAGCUAUCCAGCCCAUCCUGUGUAAUCAUUACUUAAAUGACCAGGGUUCUGUCUGGAAAGAAUCGAAGGGUUUGACCUUCAGGAGGCCAGCCUCCAGGGAAGGGGAAUGUCUAUUUUCGGGAUGUGGAUAAUGAGCAUCAGGGGCAGGCAAGCCCCACUCCAGGCACCCAUCUUUUUUUGCAGCUUGGCAAAGUAGGGCGCUGGCCCCUCUUUGGCCACCAGUGAAUUGGCUUCUGUGAAGGAGGCCUGAGAGGCGAGAGGGAUGCAACCCCAGGUGCCCACCAGAGAACAGAGCCAGCAGGGGCCAGCAGGAUGCCUUGAAAGGGCGUUCCCCAUCUCCGGAGGGGGGUGAGAGAGGAUGUCACCUCUGCUCUGUGGAAGUGGUCCAUUCCCAGGUAGGAGGAAACCACCCCAGACCAUUAGCGCCAAAGCGCUGCGUCCAGCCUGUUUGCUUUGGGAACAACCCAAGGACGCGGCUUAGCUUUGGAGUGAUGUUAAAGUGGAAAACACUCUGCACAACAAAAAAGGCCCGGAAAACUGUGUACACACCCAUCCCCUUGGCUUAGACGUGGGGGACCAAAUAAAAGCGGCUCAGUGUUCCUGCUGCCUGGCUGCAGAGCGGCCAGGUCUCUCUUCCUGCUUUCCAGAAGUUCUCCUUUUGGGAAUCACCCAUAGCAGUUUGACACGGUUGCUGACUGCUCUUCCCUUGAAGGAGACGACCAGUCACACAGCGUCUCUCGGAACCAAUAUGGGAAGUGAAGUCGCUUCAGUCGUGUCCCACUCUUUGCGACCCCAUGGACUGCAGCUGA